rnacentral:rRNA from 1 species
GAUGAACGCUGGCGGCGUGCCUAAUACAUGCAAGUCGAGCGAAUGGAUUAAGAGCUUGCUCUUAUGAAGUUAGCGGCGGACGGGUGAGUAACACGUGGGUAACCUGCCCAUAAGACUGGGAUAACUCCGGGAAAACGGGGCUAAUACCGGAUUACAUUUUGAACCGAAUGGUUCGUAAUCUAAAGGCGGUUUCGGCUGUCAUUUAUGGAUGGACCCGCGUCGCAUUAGCUAGUUGGUGAGGUAACGGCUCACCAAGGCAACGAUGCGUAGCCGAACUGAGAUGGUGAUCGGCCACACUGGGACUGAGACACGGCCCAGACUCCUACGGGAGGCAGCAGUAGGGAAUCUUCCGCAAUGGACGAAAGUCUGACGGAGCAACGCCGCGUGAGUGAUGAAGGCUUUCGGGUCGUAAAACUCUGUUGUUAGGGAAGAACAAGUGCUAGUUGAAUAAGCUGGCUCCUUGACGGUACCUAACCAGAAAGCCACGGCUAACUACGUGCCAGCAGCCGCCGUAA